GAGAGGGAGAGAGCGGCUGACGGUGACCAUGUAUGGUUGCUGAGGAAAGUCCCCCCACCUUUUGGGCGCGCAGCCCCAUGCAAGUGGGGAUGGCGAGAGUCAUGGCAAUGGCACAGAAACGACACGUCCUGCCGCCAGCAAUGAAAC
rnacentral:RNase_P_RNA from 1 species